GCGCUGCACCCAGCUUGCACAGGGCGAGGCGGGGGCAGGACCUGGGACCCAGCCGCCCCGGAGGAAACCGGAGAGGAAACCAGCUCGGUCUUGCUCUCUGCUUGGUCCCAAUCCCCAGCUCUUACCAAAUGCAGAUCCCUUGGCUGAAUGCCUUUUAGUCUGCAUGCAUGCAUCUCAUACCACACAGCCCAAAUUUCUACAACUUCGUCCAAGUGCAAUCUCCUCAGAACUACAAAGCAAGAAAAGAUCACCUUUGGGCUCAGGAACUCACAGUCAUUCUCCCUCUCCCGGAAGGCACAAUGACCAGGACAGUACCGAGCUUUGCAGCCAUAUUAAACUCACCUCCAGCUCAGCACAUUCCGCUCAAUCACUCAAAAUCAUCCUUUCCUGCUGGUAAAUAACACUGAAAUUGUGGGAAGAUGGGAUGGUAAGCACAAAGUCUGUCUCUGGAAGCACUGGCACUGUCUCUGAAGACAAACUGAUCGUAACAGAAGCCGACCCAGUGGAACGACCUCUAUGCUAAACCCUCGGCUCCCUCUGCAUUUGGACUGUGGCCUGAUGGAAGGUGCGAGGAACCCUGUGACCACGUUGCAGUACAGAGGCAGCUUGGCCAGCCCACCCCUUGGGCCUAAUUUUUCUCCCUGGCCAAAGGGGUCAAACUAUUCCAGUGCUAUCUGCGCCCUGGGCUCCAGAGUAAUCAAACACACAUGUUUGGCGCUCCACUAAUCAGGGAAUGAAAUAAAGCUAGAUGUUUCC